CGCAAGUUUCUCACCUCUUCGACAAAAAUCGACAUUUUACGUUUAUGUGGUUCGAAUUGCAUGAUUACUCAUCUCAUCGUUGUGUCAAUCAACCGAUCCCACUGAUUAUUCGUUGACUAAAGGAACAAGUAAGAAGGAAAGGACGCGAUUAGCGUCGUCGCGCUGUCUGCUUGUUACCGGUAGUUCGCUUCCAUCUCUGAGCACCCCGCUUAUUCCUCCCCAUCUUACACUCACUAGAUAUCCCCUUUUUUCUCGUUUAUUCUCUGUCUCUAUUUUUCUUUUUUUCUCCAUUUCCUUGUAUAAAAACGGCUAUCAGGCCUCUAUUUGUCCAACUCAUUUUCUGCUUCUCGCUUUUUUUUUACAACUUUCCUCGCUCGCGUCAUUGUCACGUAGUUCAGAAAAGACGCGAAAGAAAUCGAAUUGUCGAUGAGUAUACGAAUUUGUAGAAUAGAAACGAUCCAUUAUGUGCUUUUAUUUUUGCUCAUUCUUAGUCGGGACGACGCAAUGUUGUAUUUGAAGUGAGAAAUGAUUGUGUUUUAAGCAAGAGAAAGCAAAGAAAAAGACAAAAUAGGAAGAUAAAAGAAGAAAGAGGAAGAAAGAAACGAAGGAAAGAAGAGAAAAUGAUUGCAAGUGAAGCGCUAUGAAAUCCGAUCUGUCGAUAGGACAAUCCCAUGUUAAAGUCGAAUCAUUAUGGAUCGAAAUUUGUUGGGUGUUCGGCUUCUUCGUCGACGAUCAUCAAUUUCGACAUCGAUAUUGGCACCGGCGUCGGCAUCGUAUCUCCAUCCUCGUCGUCUCGUCGUCGUUGCUGCCGCUGCUACUGCUGUCGCUGCCAU